UUUAUUAUUGCAAUAAAUAGAAAUUUACGAGUAACCUUUAGAAAAUGUAUUAAUUAUUUAAAGAUGACAAUAAUUUUGUUACGUAGAACGGAUCGCAUUGUUUUGACAACAGCAACAGAGCACUUGUAUCAAAUAUCAACAAUUGAAAAUUUUGCCUAAAGUGUUGUAUAUGUUCGGAACGAAUACAACCAAAAUCCUUCCAUCCUGUACGGUGAGAAUGAAUUCAAAAGAAGGAACCGUAUUUUGAAACACACGGUAUUAAAUGUGAUCCUGCCACUGAUCAUUACAAACUUGCAACCUUAUAACAACAGAGGAUUGCCAAACCUACCGCAAUUGCAAAUACUUUUUGCAUUAAGGCAUAAAAAUGCAACUGGAUGUUUUCAGAUGGUGUGUGGUGAUCUGAACAGAAUAAGCCAAUCUACAGUCUGUUUAAUUAUAAAUAAAGUCUCUGCAGA